rnacentral:rRNA from 1 species
UACGUAGGGGGGCAAGCGUUAUCCGGAUUUACUGGGUGUAAAGGGAGCGUAGACGGUUUGCCAAGUCUGAUGUGAAAGGCGUGGGCUCAACCCGCAAACUGCAUUGGAAACUGGUAGACUGGAGUGUCGGAGAGGUAAGUGGAAUUCCUAGUGUAGCGGUGAAAUGCGUAGAUAUUAGGAGGAACACCAGCGGCGAAGGCGGCUUACUGGACGAUGACUGACGUUGAGGCUCGAAAGCGUGGGGAGCAAA